rnacentral:rRNA from 1 species
AGAGUUUGAUCCUGGCUCAGAUUGAACGCUGGCGGCAUGCUUUACACAUGCAAGUCGAACGGCAGCGCGGGGCAACCUGGCGGCGAGUGGCGAACGGGUGAGUAAUAWAUCGGAACGUACCCAAGAGUGGGGGAUAACGUAGCGAAAGUUACGCUAAUACCGCAUACGAUCUAAGGAUGAAAGUGGGGGAUCGCAAGACCUCAUGCUCCUGGAGCGGCCGAUAUCUGAUUAGCUAGUUGGUGAGGUAAAGGCUCACCAAGGCGACGAUCAGUAGCUGGUCUGAGAGGACGACCAGCCACACUGGAACUGAGACACGGUCCAGACUCCUACGGGAGGCAGCAGUGGGGAAUUUUGGACAAUGGGCGCAAGCCUGAUCCAGCAAUGCCGCGUGAGUGAAGAAGGCCUUCGGGUUGUAAAGCUCUUUUGUCAGGGAAGAAACGGUAGAGGCUAAUAUCCUUUGCUAAUGACGGUACCUGAAGAAUAAGCACCGGCUAACUACGUGCCAGCAGCCGCGGUAAUACGUAGGGUGCAAGCGUUAAUCGGAAUUACUGGGCGUAAAGCGUGCGCAGGCGGUUUUGUAAGUCUGUCGUGAAAGCCCCGGGCUCAACCUGGGAAUUGCGAUGGAGACUGCAAGGCUUGAAUCUGGCAGAGGGGGGUAGAAUUCCACGUGUAGCAGUGAAAUGCGUAGAGAUGUGGAGGAACACCGAUGGCGAAGGCAGCCCCCUGGGUCAAGAUUGACGCUCAUGCACGAAAGCGUGGGGAGCAAACAGGAUUAGAUACCCUGGUAGUCC